GCUUCUUCUCGUUCAGUUGUCCGUUCCUUUCCUCUUGUUGUUGCUUUCCGGAAGCUUCGAUCUCGCAAUGGCGGCGACGUCGAGUGAAGCGGGGCUGUACGGGAUCAAGACGCAGCUGUUGAUUCCUGGGGCGAAGGCCGCGGCGGCGGUGAAGUUCUACGGAGACGCUUUCGGUGCGGAGGAGCUUCGGCGGGUGUCGUACCCGAAGCGCAAGCGCAACCUUCCACGCAUCAUCUCCUCCGAGCUAAAGAUCGGUUCCUCUGUUCUGCUCGUCAGCGAUCGAUUUGACGAAGGAGGCGCGGAAGGAUCUGCGGCAUCCUUCGGCGGGAUCGCGAUCUGGAUCGAAACUGAGGACGUAGAUGAGGCGGUAAAGAGGGCGUUAGCUGCCGGUGCGGAGCUCGUUAGCGAAGUGGCGGAGCACGACGAUGGCGUCUUCGGGAAGGUGAAGGACCCGUACGACGUUGUCUGGGUCAUUGAAUCCAUGCCGAAGAACUUCAAACCCAAAAACUGAUUUGCCCUAGCCGAUUCGCUACCUCGCCAUAUGAAAUAAUAGCAAGCACUUUGGAUUUGCUACAUCAAGGCAAGUUAAGAACCAAGACAAGACAACCCCACAGAUUGUGACGGAGCAGCAUGCAGAUCCAUGGUUCUAACUCUUUCGAUGAUUUAGCAAUGCAUUUUGAAUUAGGAGUUUCUAUAUCAGAUCACUCGUGUUGUUUUGGGUGAUUGAAAUAGUCGACCUAAUUAACCUUAGAUGAUGAAUUUACUUGAUGGAGCACGAAGCUAUGUGGAACAUCGACCUCAUUGAUAAUCUGUGGCCUCAUUAAUUGAUAAUCAUCGAGCUUGGAAAUGGAUUCGAGGACCUGGAUGUUAAUAUUGAUGUAUUUUGGGUUUGUUUCGAAAAAAAUUGACAGUAAUUAUACAAUCUACCUUCUAGCUAGGUAGUGAGUGUUAUUACCUAAUUAAGGACCUCCACCCAGUACUUACUUGGUGAUUCAGGACUUGGGUAGACUGGAUUGAUUAGAUAUUUGACCUUAGGUUGAUAGGUCACCUAAAUAGACAAUUUGUUUGAAUAGUCUUACUUAUUGUUGUAUGUAACUCAGUGGUCCAGUUUGAGUUAUGAAAAUAAACUCUUUCAAUACAGA